GACGAACGCUGGCGGCGUGCUUAACACAUGCAAGUCGAACGAAGAGCGAUGGAAGCUUGCUUCUAUCAAUCUUAGUGGCGAACGGGUGAGUAACGCGUAAUCAACCUGCCCUUCAGAGGGGGACAACAGUUGGAAACGACUGCUAAUACCGCAUACGAUCCAAUCUCGGCAUCGGGACUGGAUGAAAGGUGGCCUCUAUUUAUAAGCUAUCACUGAAGGAGGGGAUUGCGUCUGAUUAGCUAGUUGGAGGGGUAACGGCCCACCAAGGCGAUGAUCAGUAGCCGGUCUGAGAGGAUGAACGGCCACAUUGGGACUGGGACACGGCCCAGACUCCUACGGGAGGCAGCAGGGGGGAAUCUUCCGCAAUGGACGAAAGUCUGACGGAGCAAUGCCGCGGGAGGGAUGACGGCCGUCGGGUUGUAAAGCUCUGUUAAUCGGGACGAAUGGUUCUUGUGCGAAUAGUGCGAGGAUUUGACGGUACCGGAAUAGAAAGCCACGGCUAACUACGUG
rnacentral:rRNA from 1 species